UGUGGAAAGAUUGAAUGACUCAAAUCGUAAUCUCGUGCUGGAAGUUUGGAAGUUUUAUACAAAUUAUUGUUUGUGUAGUAACUGUAAUAGCCACAAUUGCCUAUUUAGAAUUCUUCGCCUUAUUUUGGGUAAGCCUGUCACUACAAUGCCUUGAACUCCAAGUGAAAAAGAAGAGAUAUGAGGAACUUAUGAUAUCCAAAGCAUAAUGGAAAGUCGGUGCUCUAAAUUUACUCUGAUAGCUACUAGGCUAAGUGUAUUCUCCGUUUAGCUGGUAUAUAUUGUACAUUGAUUAUCGCCUUUUGAGCCCACAUCCUAGGUUGACAGAACCAAUCCCAGUUUGAAAACAGGCUAACCUAAUUAGGUGUGACUGAUCAUUCAUUUUAACCUGGUGAAAUGGUGAGCGAAUAGCUUGUUGGUUACAGAUUGAUAACAUUGAAGCCGAAAUGAAAACCUAACGUGGCUGAGGCCUAGACCCAUAGUAUUGCAGAGGUAUUUCAGUUCCUGGUAAUACUAGCCCCUGGGAGCUAAUUAAAGUCGACCCCCUACAGCUAAAUAACGGUAAAUUCUUAAUAAGGAACCCAAAUACUAUAGGAAACUAGUUUUCAAGAACCUAGAACCUAGAUCUAUCAAUUGAACGAAGCAGAAAUAAAAACCCAACGUGACUGAGACCUAGGCCUAGUAGUGCAGAAGUAUUUCAGUUCCUGGAAUAUCCAAGCAGGAGGGAAAGAAAGCACAGCCGCCAAGUAGUUUGGUGAGUGUUUCGAAGGAAAUUUGUGAUUGUGGUCAGACUCCUUAUUUUUGUAGGCAUUGGAAUGUCUUCCCGGCGGUUCACUUUGGCACAAAUGUCUACAAGACUCCAGUCUUUUUAGGUCCUUCAUUGCUUAUUGCACAUUACUUAUUGAGGUGAGCAGAAAACAGCUAGUUACCAGCCAACAAUACAGAGGUUUGAGAGGAGACAACACAGGGAGAAGAGGACGGAGUUGAAUGCAUCAUAAGUUGAAAUUUUCAAGGUUAGUGACAAAUUUUUAAGAGAUAUGGCUGAUCCAUCUGGAAGGGUUGAUAAAUGAAGUGAAGUAUUUUUUUCAUUAUCAACCCCCGUGAAAGAACCAUUGCAUAGCGUAAAAUACAAUCAAAUAACUCAUCUAAGGAGCUGAUCAGUUAGCUGUCGGUUAGUGUGUAUGCAUAGACAAGCCUCCUUUGGAAACACCAAAAUCCAUAUAACAACAGUUCGUAAUACAGGACUACCAAAACAACUAUGUGGUUAUUUGGUUAUAUUGUGGUGUGUAGCAAAACACAGAAGCUUCCCACAUUUCCACGAAUGAAAAAAAAUGGAGAGAUA